GUAAGUUGUCUCCCUGCGUCCCUCACGAUUUCUAUUCUCUGUCUCUCCCGUUCCCCGACUCACACCCCGUUCCCCAUCACACCCUUUUAUUCUCUGGAGACUCUGGUCAAGCCCAUGCCUUCUGUGGCCUCGGUCCUUCCUCAGUAUAAUGGCAGGUUUGGGUUACAUCCGGGUUUCCAAAGGUCCCGUCACUUGAAAGCCCCAUCACAAUUUUGCAUUUUUUGUACUGUCCUCUACUUGAAAUUUUUUAAUCUACACAUUCUGUGUUUGGUAAAUGUAUUUUAAAUGACCACUUUAUGUCACAAUUAUAAGUGGAAAACCAACUUCCCUUGUUAGAAAUAGAAGGAAACAAGAACAAUUGGAAAACAAAAUAGUGUUCCUAAGUCCCACUGAGACACUUUUGCCUCCGAAAGGGAGGUCUGCCCUCUCCUCUGUCACGUUCCCAGUCUAUGUCCUAAAAUCACCUCGGGUGCCAUUGGUGGAGCAGACCCCAAACUUUGUCCAACCAUGGAUUCAAGAUCUCUGGGAUCCAGUUCAAUUACUGAUGUUUCUUUCUCCCCCCUCCUUCCCAGCUGCUUUUUAUAACCCCCUGUAAUGAUCAUAACAUACACACAAAUACAAUCCUCUGCACUUAAAAAGACUUUUUUUUUUUUUGGCUCCCACCAGCCCACAGAACAAGGGACCAGCAUUGUUUCGGGAGAGAUAACAGGCUCUGUUUCCAAUGUCCCUCCCCACUGGCCCUGACAGAUACCUCGGUGGUUCCUGACAGGAAAUCCCCUUCUGCCUCAUGGAAAACCCAGACAAGGAAGCAGAGCAGCCCCCAUGGACUGUUCAGGCUCCACCCAGCGUUGUAGAAGUAAAAAAAGGUCCAUCAUCUCAGGCCGGGGUCUGGAAGCCCCUGGGCUCUGACCACACUUACAAGGACACUGCAGCCUGUGAGGAGACACACACAGAACACCAGGCCUCUUACGGUGGCAUCGGCACCAUAGCUUACCAGGUCCACAGUGGUUUUGACUCUUACAUCAACUUGAUGAAGUCUGCAGAGGAACAGGUAUCGCUCCCUCCGUUUGGCAAAUGAGAAAACCACAGCCAAGAGGCUCUGCCGGAGAUCUAACUCAAGGUCAGGACCAAGUUUGUGCUGACCAAGGCUGUGAGAGCCAUCAGACCCCUGGGCAGUGGGGACAACCCAUGCCAUGUUCUGCACUGCAGACUCCCACACGAGCCUGCACGUCCAUCCCCUUUCUCGACACUCCUUUUUCUUGAGGCCAGAAGUCUGGACCGAAGGUGUUGGUAGGGUUGGUUCCUGCCGGAUGCUCUGAGGGAGAAGCUUGUCCAUGCCUCUCUAGCCUCCAGUGGCAGUCAGCAAUCCUUGGCUUGUAGGAGCAUCACUCUAGUCUCUGCCUCCAUUUCACGUGGCCUCCCCUGCUCUGUCUCACGGUCUGUUUCCCAGAGAAACAUUCAUACGUUGUUAGAUUUCAACAAAUGAAUUUUGAGGGGACACAAAUGUGAAGUCCAUCACGCUCAUUAUUUCCAAUAAGACAAGGAUCUUUAGACUCAUCUUUGAAAAUGAUUCUCAAGUUAGAGAACCAUGGAGAGAACAUCAGUGUCCAUCCAGCUGAGCCCCCACGGUAUAGAUGAAUCUCCUCUACAAGCCCCUCUCAAAUGAUUUCCUAGUGUCCACCUAAACACCUCCAUCCACCAUGUCCGGAGGCAGCCAUAGAGUCCUUGGGUCGCCCUACCAUGGAGGAACAUUGUCCUGCUGAGUUACAGUCCAGAACCUGCAGCUCCCAUUCUCAGGCCCAGUUUUAGCCCUGGGGCCGUGUAGAGCAAGUCCACAUCUCUUCUCCAUGGGACAGCUCUUCAGAUAUUUAGCAACCACUGUUCUGGUCUUCCCAGCUCCAGGGUGAACACCGCCCCCAGCCCACCGUUGCAAACACGGUGGGGUCUUCCUGGUCAUCCUUCUCUGAACAGGUCCUAGUUUGUCUCUACCCCUUCAUUUAGAAGUGGGGUGCCCAGAAAUGCAAACAAUGGCCGUCUGCAUGCUGUUCAUCCUGUAACACAGAAUCCAGUGCUGGGAUAACAGCGGGAAGCAAGACAGACAGGGUCCAGCUGUCCUGAAGCUCCUGUUCCAGCUAAGGGGGUGGGGGAUGGAGAGAAACAAAUAAGGAACAUAUCAGAGAGUGAGAGAGGCUCUUCUGAGAGCUGCAGCAGGGGUCUACCAUAAAGCAUGACCAGUGGUCAGGUAGCCUCUUUGCGGGACUGGUGUUUAUGCCCAGGUCCGAAUGACAAGAACAGCUAAAGCAAAGUCCCUAAUGCACCACAGACCCCCUCCUUCACCCCCCUUUCCCUAAGGCCCCACCACCCUCCGAUCCUCCCGCCCCACGCUGGCUCCUAUCUCUCUCCAAAUCACAGGCAUUCCCCAAGCAGGGCCAGCGCCAGAAGGGUGGGCCCUGGGGCAGCUCAGCCACUCUGGGGGCCGCCGAAGGUAAUCACACUGAAAUUCCAGGAUUGAAUUCAAU
ensembl:lncRNA